rnacentral:lncRNA from 1 species
CUAGCUCUCCUGGCACUCUGAUGUGAUGUUGAGGUUGUGUAUGCUUCACAAUUAACAAAGACUUUUUAUUAUUUUGAACUCUUGAUGUCACUGCCUUUGUUUUGCAUAGAAGACAACAUGACAAGGUUUUUAAAAUGCAUUUUCUUAUUUUCCACAGUAUGUAUUUUUAAAUCACACUGACAGUUUUAUUCCACAGCACACCCGCAAUUGCUCAGCUCUCACAAACAACUCUCGCCCAACAAAAGCACUCAGGGUAGAAGAAGUUUAAGGAGAUGGAUUUCAGUCUCCUGUUUCAGAGGGGUUGCUGUAAAUCACAGCAUGGGAGGAAGAAGACAAAUAUAAAAAUGAUGAAAGGUACCUUGAUAAAAGUGUGUUUUUAAUCACUAUUUUCCUAGGCAGGUGCAAUUCUCAAAACUUUUUCUCAGUGGGGCUGUACUUUAUGAAGUUCACCUGCCAGCGGAUCUGGAGGAUCAAUGCCUACUCUCUCUUUGGCUUGUGACCACACCUACUGUGCUUCGCAGAGGACAGAGUCCCAAGUCUGGACUGUUUCAGGGGACACCUAACCUAUCCAAGAUAGGGCUUCUCCCAGGCUUCCUGCCUCAUGAAGGAUUUGUUUUUCUAGGUGCUGGUGACCCUGAUGGUGAGCCACCUGCUGCUCUUAAAGUGCUGAUGUGACAUUAUGACCAAAAGAAGCAGCUGGACAUCAAAUUCCAUCCACUCCCACCUCACAUAGGUAAUGAUUGAACCAGAUAAACCUCAUUUUGUGGGGAGGGAGAAGUCAAAAGGAAUUUGGAUGUGAGACUGUACAAGUGAAAUUCUCCUUAACAAGGUCUAAUCAGAAUGGCAGUGGGAUGGGGUCUUAGUAUCUUAGGUAUGGCAGAAAAUUCUCAGUGCUUUUCAAAAUAGGAAUAGGAUGCCUAACAAAAUAAUGAUUUUCCCAAUAAUCAUCAGGGAUUUCUAGAAUCCUGGUAUUUCCAGGAUCACUCAUCUUUUCUCAUUUUUGCCACGGGGACUUAUUAGAGGGCUGUCUUAAAACAGCAGACAGGAUUUGGCCCCAAACUAUUUUUUCUUCUCCCCAUAAGAAGGUUCCAAUGUUAUCAUUCUCUGCAUGGCCCACAAUACUGGGAGACAAUGCAUAUGAGUCAGGAGGAAACUAUUCUGUUUAAUCAAGAAUGAACUAAAUGUCAGAGACUCAGUGUUCUAGAUCAACAAUUUCCAGGAUUGAUACAUCUUAAUCAAGUAAUUAAGUGACUUUUUCGGUGGUGUUUUCCACACUGGAGAGAGGAACAGAUUUGCUGCUUUGCUCCGAUGGCUGCUAGCAGCAGUGUUGGUUGUUAACAGAGACAUUUACACGGAACCACCAGUUGGCAGGGCUAACACUUUGUUACUUGCUAUUCCCACAUGCUGAGGAUUGUGGGAAGGCUGCCAAGCUUUCUGUCUCAUGUAGUUCUUCAGUAUAAUAACAGCAACAGCAACAAAAAGCCUUGAAAAAAAGAAGAAAAAGAAGAAGAGCAAAGGAAACAAUGGCGCUAAGUCCCUGGCUUCAUAUUAAGCAUGAAUGAAAUGAGAACAUUUUAGUGGUACUUUUUCCCCAUCAUCUUUCUUUCUCUGUCUUUGUCUUUCUUCUUCACGCUUUCUCUCUCCAUUUAAAUAGCAUUUUAAAUUGAGGUUGAUGCUUCUCAAACUUUAAAAGAUUUUUCAAAUCACCUGAGGUCUUGUUAAAAAUGUAGAUUCUGAUUUUGCCAGUAGGAGGUGGUGCCUAAGGGUUUUCAUUUCUUUCUUUCUCUUUUAGAGCUGCAUCCAUGGCAUAUUGAAGUUCCCAAGGUAGCGGUGGAAUUGGAGCUGCAGCUGCUGGCCUACCCACAGCCACAGCAAUGUGGAAUAUGAACCACAUCUGCGACCUACACCACAGCUCAUGGCAAUGCCAGAUCCUUAACCCACUGAGUGAGGCCAGGGAUCAAACCCACAUCCUCAUGGGUACUAGUCAGGUUCAUUAUCGCUGAGCCACCACAGGAACUCCUAAGGGUCUUCAUUUCUAACUGUACUUGGUGAUACAGAUGCUUUUGGUCCUGUCCUGGAAUCUUAUUUGUCUAGCAAAGGCUGAGGGGAUGGUAAAAGAAAUAACACUUGACUAGAUCUGGUGCUGAUGGUUGCAACUGUCUGAUAAGCAAGGGCUCUGAAAUGACAAUGCACCUUUCUGCCCCACCCCUCCUGUAUCCCUGGAUACCUGAGAUUGAACCCUUUCUAUGUUAUAAUCCCAAUCAGAAAUAUCACCUGUAUUGAAAGAAAUAUUAGGAGUCAGAAGAUCUUGAUCCUAGUUCUAGUUCUGUUACUACCUAGUUGUGUGACAACAGGUUAAGUCCUGUAUCCUCCCCAGGUGUCAGUUAGUUCAUCAGCAUCUGAGGGAAUCACACAUUAUGCACUUGACAGGUGUUUCAGUACAAAUUUUAUGAGCUCUUUUAGCUUAUCUAUUGAAAAGGUGGAAUCUGGGGCUGUACUUGAAUUUGAACAUCUGAAUUUGCUUUGGUAUACUUUGCCUCUCAAAAAUAUAAAAUAAAUAAAAAUCAGUUUCAAAGAACA